CCUACGGGGGACAGCAGUGGGGGAUAUUGCACAAUGGGGGGAACCCUGAUGCAGCGACGCCGCGUGGGUGAAGGAGCGCCUCGGCGCGUAAAGCCCUGUCAGCAGGGAAGAAAAUGACGGUACCUGACGAAGAAGCCCCGGCUAACUACGUGCCAGCAGCCGCGGUAAUACGUAGGGGGCAAGCGUUAUCCGGAUUUACUGGGUGUAAAGGGGGCGUAGACGGCGAUGCAAGCCAGGAGUGAAAGCCCGGGGCCCAACCCCGGGACUGCUCUUGGAACUGCGUGGCUGGAGUGCAGGAGGGGCAGGCGGAAUUCCUGGUGUAGCGGUGAAAUGCGUAGAUAUCAGGAGGAACACCGGUGGCGAAGGCGGCCUGCUGGACUGCAACUGACGUUGAGGCCCGAAAGCGUGGGGAGCAAACAGGAUUAGAUACCCGGGUAGUC
rnacentral:rRNA from 1 species